rnacentral:lncRNA from 1 species
UCCGUUCCCAGUGUGAAGGAUCGAGCCUGGCUCGGAGGAGGCGCUCAGGGUGGUUCGGGCCCGGCCCUUGUGAGUGGAGGGUCGUUGCGCAUCCUCCUCCUCACUUUCUUCCUGCCGGGACGUUCUCAGCCGGGAACUGACAGAUCCUGCUUAGCCCGGGGCCCAGCACUGAGAAAUCUGGGAAGGAACGUUGCUCACCGCACAUGGGCCGUGGCCCCAUCCUUCGGGCCCUUUAGGUGGGGAAUCGGGCUAGCAGCUCCAGCCACGGCACUGGGACGGGGAGCGCUAUCGUCCCAGGAGACCGGGCGAUGAGCCAAGGCUGCUGUGUAUCCAACCUGACAUCUGCAGGAAACCCCCCCGGAACCUGCCCAUGCACCACACCACAGAGAAACCAGGACACAGGGGCUCAGGGCCAGUGGGGGCGCAAAGGCUGCAGACCGGGAGCGGGGCACCCUGACAGAAUCAUGGGCUGGAGUUGGCAGCUGACG